UUUGUACAAGGAGAGUUGCC
rnacentral:piRNA from 1 species